CCUACGGGAGGCAGCAGUGAGGAAUAUUGGUCAAUGGACGCGAGCCUGAACCAGCCAAGUAGCGUGAAGGAUGACUGCCCUACGGGUUGUAAACUUCUUUUAUAUGGGAAUAAAAUGAGGCACGUGUGCCAUUUUGUAUGUACUUUAUGAAUAAGGAUCGGCUAACUCCGUGCCAGCAGCCGCGGUAAUACGGAGGAUCCGAGCGUUAUCCGGAUUUAUUGGGUUUAAAGGGAGCGUAGAUGGGUUGUUAAGUCAGUUGUGAAAGUUUGCGGCUCAACCGUAAAAUUGCAAUUGAUACUGGCAGUCUUGAGUACAGUAGAGGUAGGCGGAAUUCGUGGUGUAGCGGUGAAAUGCUUAGAUAUCACGAAGAACUCCGAUUGCGAAGGCAGUUCACUAAACUGCCACUGACACUGAGGCUCGAAAGUGUGGGUAUCAAACAGGAUUAGAUACCCGAGUAGUC
rnacentral:rRNA from 1 species